rnacentral:rRNA from 1 species
AUUGAACGCUGGCGGCAGGCCUAACACAUGCAAGUAGAACGAGUGGCGGACGGGUGAGUAAUGUCUGGGAAACUGCCUGCUGGAGGGGGAUAACUACUGGCAACGGUAGCUAAUACCGCAUACCAUCAGAUGUGCCCAGAUGGGUUUGGCUAGUUGGUGGGGUAACGGCGCACCAAGGCGACGAUCCCUAGCUGGUCUGAGGGGAUGACCAGCAACACUGGAACUGAGACACGGUCCAGACUCCUACUGGUGGCAGCAGUGGGGAAUAUUGCACAAUGGGCGCAAGCCUGAUGCAGCCAUGCCGCGUGUAUGAAGAAGGCCUUCGGGUUGUAAAGUACUUUCAGCGGGGAGGCGUUACCCGCAGAAGAAGCACCGGAUAACUCCGUGCCAGCAGCCGCGGUAAUUC